rnacentral:tRNA from 7 species
GCCUUCUUAGCUCAAUGGUAGAGCAUUCGGCUGUUAACCGAAGGGUUGUAGGUUCGAGCCCUACAGAAGGCGCCA